UACGAGAGCCUCAAGCGUUAUCCGGAAUUAUUGGGCGUAAAGGGUGUGUAGGCGGUAAUGUUAGUCUCAUGUCAAAGCCUCUGGCUUAACCAGAGAUCCGCAUGGGAAACGGCAUAACUAGGAGGGUGCGAGAGGUGAAUGGAACUCAUGGUGUAGGGGUGAAAUCCGUUGAUAUCAUGGGGAACGCCAAAAGCGAAGGCAAUUCACUGGCGCAUACCUGACGCUGAGGCACGAAAGCGUGGGGAGCAAACAGG
rnacentral:rRNA from 1 species